rnacentral:rRNA from 1 species
AGUGGCGGACGGGUGAGUAACGCGUAAGAAUCUAACUUCAGGACGGGGACAACAGUUGGAAACGACUGCUAAUACCCGAUGUGCCGCAAGGUGAAACCUAAUUGGCCUGGAGAAGAGCUUGCGUCUGAUUAGCUAGUUGGUGGGGUAAAGGCCUACCAAGGCGACGAUCAGUAGCUGGUCUGAGAGGAUGAGCAGCCACACUGGGACUGAGACACGGCCCAGACUCCUACGGGAGGCAGCAGUGGGGAAUUUUCCGCAAUGGGCGAAAGCCUGACGGAGCAACGCCGCGUGAGGGAGGAAGGUCUUUGGAUUGUAAACCUCUUUUCUCAAGGAAGAAGUUCUGACGGUACUUGAGGAAUCAGCCUCGGCUAACUCCGUGCCAGCAGCCGCGGUAAUACGGGGGAGGCAAGCGUUAUCCGGAAUUAUUGGGCGUAAAGCGUCCGCAGGUGGUCAGCCAAGUCUGCCGUCAAAUCAGGUUGCUUAACGACCUAAAGGCGGUGGAAACUGGCAGACUAGAGAGCAGUAGGGGUAGCAGGAAUUCCCAGUGUAGCGGUGAAAUGCGUAGAGAUUGGGAAGAACAUCGGUGGCGAAAGCGUGCUACUGGGCUGUAUCUGACACUCAGGGACGAAAGCUAGGGGAGCAAAGGGAUUAGAUACCCCUGUAGUCCUGGCCGUAAACGAUGGAUACUAGGCGUGGCUUG